rnacentral:misc_RNA from 1 species
GAUGAAGAACGCAGCGAAAUGCGAUAAGUAAUGCGAAUUGCAGAAUUUCCGUGAGUCAUCGAAUCUUUGAACGCACAUUGCGCCCUUUGGUAUUCCGAAGGGCAUGCCUGUUCGAGCGUCAUUAUCACAGCUCAAACCCUGGGUUUGGUGUUGGACCGACGUUGGGUCGACCAACUGGUCUGAAAGACAAUGACGGCGUCCGUGGGACCCCUCAGUGCAACGAGCUUUCACAAGCACGCAUUGAGUUGCAAGGACCCUCCGGGCCGGUCUACUGUAACAUUUUCUAAAAGUUGACCUCGGAUCAGGUAGGAAUACCCGCUGAACUUAAGCAUAUCAAUAAGCGGAGGA